CACGUAGGGGGCGAGCGUUGUCCGGAUUUAUUGGGCGUAAAGAGCUCGUAGGCGGCUCGGUAAGUCGGGUGUGAAAACUCGGGGCUCAACCCCGAGACGCCACUCGAUACUGCCAUGGCUAGAGUCCGGUAGGGGAGCGUGGAAUUCCUGGUGUAGCGGUGAAAUGCGCAGAUAUCAGGAGGAACACCGGUGGCGAAGGCGGCGCUCUGGGCCGGAACUGACGCUGAGGAGCGAAAGCGUGGGGAGCAAACAGG
rnacentral:rRNA from 1 species